rnacentral:rRNA from 1 species
AUUGAACGCUGGCGGCAUGCCUUACACAUGCAAGUCGAACGGCAGCACGGGUGCUUGCACCUGGUGGCGAGUGGCGAACGGGUGAGUAAUACAUCGGAACGUACCUUAUCGUGGGGGAUAACGCAGCGAAAGCUGUGCUAAUACCGCAUACGCCCUGAGGGGGAAAGCGGGGGAUCGAAAGACCUCGCGCGAUUAGAGCGGCCGAUGCCUGAUUAGCUUGUUGGUGGGGUAAAAGCCCGCCAAGGCGACGAUCAGUAGCUGGUCUUAGAGGACGAUCAGCUACACUGGGACUGAGACACGGCCCAGACUCCUACGGGAGGUAGCAGUGGGGAAUUUUGGACAAUGGGGGCAACCCUGAUCCAGCAAUGCCGCGUGAGUGAAGAAGGCCUUCGGGUUGUAAAGCUCUUUUGUCAGGGAAGAAACACCGGCUCUAACACAGUCCGGGAAUGACGGUACCUGAAGAAUAAGCACCGGCUAACUACGUGCCAGCCGCCGCCGUAA